ensembl:lncRNA
AGUCCACUGGGGAGUAUGCCAGGAAGUGCCGAUGGCCCUAAAGAGCGCAGAGCAGCCCCCAGCUGAUGGCCAGUAGGGAGGGCUUUUGGCAGGGAGAGCCCUGGAAUCUGCCAAGAAGGCUGGUUAUGUGGGCAGAAGCAGCGGUCCAGGGAGAAGACUUGACAGCACCGCGCCCGGUUCAUCUCUCUAUCCAGUUUAUUCCCUGAGACGGUCUGACCCACAGCCGACACUCCGAAAUGGAAAAGACCUUCCAGGCAGUCAGCAUUUGAGCACAUUUCCCGCCUGCGGCCUGUACUGACCUCACCUCAAGUCAAAACUCACAGGAACGCUAGACUUGGAUGAUCCGGGACAUGGAAACUUUCAAUCCUAAAGUGUGCCCCCUCCUCACUGAGACUGGGGCUCCCCAAACUCUUAGAGUGAGAUUGGGCCUGAGCCUGGGGAUGGGGCGUGGGCUGCUACAGUGUUUCUCCUCUUUCUCUUCUUUGCCAGCGGGAGAAAGGCCCCUGGGACUUGUUCUAUAUGGCUGAUGGUGCUUCUUUUUGCUUGCUUGAGUUAAUGGAGAAAAGCUAUACAUGGAUGUCUGCUGGACUAGUUAUGUUUUCCUUGCAAAUACAAAUCUAAAUUGCUCUAGCACAGACAGCUUUAAUGCCUGAGUAAACGCUUGACCCUUG